rnacentral:lncRNA from 1 species
UGUUGAAGUCCGGUUGGUGCUGUUGAAGGUUGAUGGCUGGAGAGGUACGGAAGACACCAGAGACUGUCGAUCAUUAUAGAAAUUUGACUGCUGGAGCCCGUCCAUUGUAGAAGUUCAUCUGGAAUCCAUCCACUGUAAAAGUUCAGACGGAGUCUGGUUCGUGUAGAAAUUCAGAAGGAGGCCGCUUACUAUAGAAGCUCGGAUG